GACGAACGCUGGCGGCGUGCUUAACACAUGCAAGUCGAACGAAGAGCGAUGGAAGCUUGCUUCUAUCAAUCUUAGUGGCGAACGGGUGAGUAACGCGUAAUCAACCUGCCCUUCAGAGGGGGACAACAGUUGGAAACGACUGCUAAUACCGCAUACGAUCUAAUCUCGGCAUCGAGGAAAGAUGAAAGGUGGCCUCUAUUUAUAAGCUAUCACUGAAGGAGGGGAUUGUGUCUGAUUAGCUAGUUGGAGGGGUAACGGCCCACCAAGGCGAUGAUCAGUAGCCGGUCUGAGAGGAUGAACGGCCACAUUGGGACUGAGACACGGCCCAGACUCCUACGGGAGGCAGCAGUGGGGAAUCUUCCGCAAUGGACGAAAGUCUGACGGAGCAACGCCGCGUGAGUGAUGACGGCCUUCGGGUUGUAAAGCUCUGUUAAUCGGGACGAAAGGCCUUCUUGCGAACAGUUAGAAGGAUUGACGGUACCGGAAUAGAAAGCCACGGCUAACUACGUG
rnacentral:rRNA from 1 species